UACGGGGGGGGCAAGCGUUGUUCGGAUUUACUGGGCGUAAAGGGCGCGUAGGCGGCGUAACAAGGCACUUGUGAAAUCUCCGGGCUUAACCCGGAGCGGCCAAGUGAUACUGUUGUGCUAGAGUGCGGAAGGGGCUACUGGAAUUCUCGGUGUAGCGGUGAAAUGCGUAGAUAUCGAGAGGAACACCUGCGGCGAAGGCGGGUAGCUGGGCCGACACUGACGCUGAGGCGCGAAAGCCAGGGGAGCGAACGGG
rnacentral:rRNA from 1 species